GGAGCGAUGCUCGAGUGGCUGAAGAGGCACGCCUGGAAAGCGUGUAUACCCCAAAAGGGUAUCCCGAGUUCGAAUCUCGGUCGCUCCGCCA
rnacentral:tRNA from 1 species